GUGGGUAUAGCUCAGUGGUAGAGCACAUGCUUAGCAUGCAUGAGGUCCUGGGUUCAAUUCCCAAUAUCUUUA
rnacentral:tRNA from 1 species